GAUCAUUACCGAGUGAGGGCCCUCUGGGUCCAACCUCCCACCCGUGUUUAUCGUACCUUGUUGCUUCGGCGGGCCCGCCGCAAGGCCGCCGGGGGGCAUCUGCCCUCUGGCCCGCGCCCGCCGAAGACACCAUUGAACGCUGUCUGAAGAUUGCAGUCUGAGCAAUUAGUUAAAUAACUUAAAACUUUCAACAACGGAUCUCUUGGUUCCGGCAUCGAUGAAGAACGCAGCGAAAUGCGAUACGUAAUGUGAAUUGCAGAAUUCAGUGAAUCAUCGAGUCUUUGAACGCACAUUGCGCCCCCUGGUAUUCCGGGGGGCAUGCCUGUCCGAGCGUCAUUGCUGCCCUCAAGCACGGCUUGUGUGUUGGGCUCCGUCCUCCUUCCGGGGGGACGGGCCCGAAAGGCAGCGGCGGCACCGCGUCCGGUCCUCGAGCGUAUGGGGCUUCGUCACCCGCUCUGCAGGCCCGGCCGGCGCUUGCCGACACAUCAAUCUUUUUUCCAGGUUGA
rnacentral:misc_RNA from 1 species